rnacentral:rRNA from 1 species
AGUGGCAGACGGGUGAGUAACAUGUGGGUAUCUACCCUUUGGCCUGGAAUAACACGAGGAAACUUGUGCUAAUACCGGAUAAGUCUUUACGGAGAAAGCUUUAUGCACCAUUGGAUGAGCCCGCACUUGAUUAGUUUGUUGGUAGGGUAAUGGCCUACCAAGACUAUGAUCAAUAGCUGAUUUGAGAGGAUGAUCAGCCACAUUGGGACUGAGACACGGCCCAAACUCCUACGGGAGGCAGCAGUGGGGAAUCUUGCACAAUGGAGGAAACUCUGAUGCAGCGAUGCCGCGUGAGUGAAGAAGGCCUUUGGGUUGUAAAGCUCUUUCGUCGGGGAAGAAAAUGACUGUACCCGAAUAAGAAGGUCCGGCUAACUUCGUGCCAGCAGCCGCGGUAAUACGAAGGGACCUAGCGUAGUUCGGAAUUACUGGGCUUAAAGAGUUCGUAGGUGGUUGAAAAAGUUGGUGGUGAAAUCCCAGAGCUUAACUCUGGAACUGCCAUCAAAACUUUUCAGCUAGAGUAUGAUAGAGGAAAGCAGAAUUUCUAGUGUAGAGGUGAAAUUCGUAGAUAUUAGAAAGAAUACCAAUUGCGAAGCAGCUUUCUGGAUCAUUACUGACACUGAGGAACGAAGCAUGGUAGCGAGAGGAUUAGAUACCCUCGUAGUCCAUGCCGA